GACAGAGGGUGCAAACGUUGUUCGGAAUUACUGGGCGUAAAGCGCGUGUAGGCGGCUCGGCAAGUCGGACGUGAAAGCCCGGGGCUCAACCCCGGAAGUGCGCUCGAAACUGCCAAGCUCGAGUCCUGGAGAGGAAGGCGGAAUUCUCGGUGUAGAGGUGAAAUUCGUAGAUAUCGAGAGGAACACCGGUGGCGAAGGCGGCCUUCUGGACAGUGACUGACGCUGAGACGCGAAAGCGUGGGGAGCAAACAGG
rnacentral:rRNA from 1 species